rnacentral:rRNA from 1 species
GACGAAGGGGGCUAGCGUUGUUCGGAAUUACUGGGCGUAAAGCGCGUGUAGGCGGUUGCCCAAGUCGGGGGUGAAAGCCUUGAGCUCAACUCAAGAAAUGCACUCGGUACUGGGUGACUAGAGGACCGGAGAGGAUAGUGGAAUUCCCAGUGUAGUGGUGAAAUACGUAGAGAUUGGGAAGAGCACCAGUGGCGAAGGCGGCUAUCUGGACGGUUUCUGACGCUAAGACGCGAAAGCGUGGGGAGCAAACAGG